CAGUCGCCGCGGGAAUACGUAGGGUGCGAGCGUUAAUCGGAAUUACUGGGCGUAAAGCGUGCGCAGGCGGUUGUGUAAGACAGGUGUGAAAUCCCCGGGCUUAACCUGGGAACUGCGCUUGUGACUGCACAGCUAGAGUAUGGCAGAGGGGGGUGGAAUUCCACGUGUGGCAGUGAAAUGCGUAGAGAUGUGGAGGAACACCGAUGGCGAAGGCAGCCCCCUGGGCCAAUACUGACGCUCAUGCACGAAAGCGUGGGGAGCAAACAGGAUUAGAUACCCCCGUAGUCCCUGUCUCUUAUAA
rnacentral:rRNA from 1 species